rnacentral:pre_miRNA from 1 species
CCUCGUGGCCUGGUCUCCACUGUCUGAGAGGAGUUCCGUCUUGAAGGUGAGCACUGCCUCGCGGU